rnacentral:lncRNA from 1 species
GAGAGAGAGAGGUUCAAUAGCCCCAUAGUCAGCCAUGCAAAAAAAAAAGUACUGUCGGCUUCACCAGCCCCCCCUCCCCCGACAUGCUGGGUUCGGUCUGGGUCCGCCAAUGCAAUUUUAACCCAAACCUAUGAAAAGGCAUGACUGAACGUUUUUUUUAGCACCGACGAUAAAAAAUGGCGUGAAGGCGUGUUGAAGACACGGGUGGAGAUACUCUCCAUCGUGAUAUUCACCCUCCUAUACAUUCUACACACAUCGAACACCUCGUGAUGCCUUCACCGGCCAACUUAAAGGACGUUUCAAGAACUGAGAAAGUGAGAAGUCAGCGUGGAAUUGGACACGGAGGAGGAGGAGGAUGGUAGAGAAGGCAUGCCGAACCGAGAUGGCUAUACUUAUCAUUUCAUGUAUUGCCUCGUUGUCACGUCUGUUAGAACUAAGUAUGCAUAUACAACGCACGUUUUCAUCCAUGCACGUCCGAUUGUAAAUAGAAUAUUAAAGAGCAACUCCAACGUGGAUAUCCAUGUCUGUUUUUGUAAUUGGAUCGACACUUGCGUCCAAUAAGGCCAUGAUCCAUUUUUAAACGACGGAAAAAAACAUAAUAAAUAUUUUGAAAAUAUAAAAACGUUAUUAAAAAUUAAUGCCGACUUUAAAGUCCGGUUAUAGUCCCACAAGUCCACAUUGCAAAAAUAGAAAAUUUAAUUAAGCUAAAAACAAGGAGGCGCGUUGCCCUAGGCGUCCUUGUUGUCAUCGUCGUUGGGGCCGGUGAGGUCGACGAGCGUCGGUGUCGGACCAUCCCAAGGGAAGGCCGUCUCCCAGGCGGUGGCGAUGCCGUUGGCUGGUGGCUGCAUUGGCGCUGGCUUGGCCCUCAUCCUCAGCUUCGGCCUCGUGCUCUAGCUCAUCGAGCUGCCGGGCCUCUGCGUGCUCCUCCGCGAGCCGCCGCUGCCGCCAGUGCUCUAGGUAGGCUGCCUCCUGCUUCGGGGUCGCACCCAACCAGGCGGGUGGUGCGCUGACCCACUCGUGCACCACCUCGUCCCAGACAUACUGCUCGGGCUCCACGCCGGCGCUGCUCCUCGUGCUCCCACGCAAAUCAGGCCUCCCAUUCGGGAGAGUCUGCAGCGUACAUGGGGUUACACCGUUGCUCUUGUGUCAGCUGUUGCCGUUGGCGCCUCACCUCCUCCGCAUGCGCUCGCGCCGACCACGGCACCGCUGGCACUCGGAUCCUCUCCGGACCCAAAUGCCACUUGCGCGGCAACGUGAUGUCGGGAUAGGGGAAGGGGAUGCGGUGCUCCCGGUGCCACCUCACCUGGUGCAGUAGUACGUUGAUCCGCUACUGAGGCGGACAGGAAAACGUCUACAAGGGGAGUGAACGGACAAGGACGGCGAGGGACUUGUCCUUGUCUUUGCCAGAGCUCGAGCCGGAGAAGAAACCCAUGGUGGUGGCUAGGUUUUGUCACCGGGGAAGCAGCGGGUGGCUAGAUGGAGACGACUUGUGAAAGAGGAUGAGCCCCCCUCUGACAGCUCGGAUUAAAAUAGGACGCCCGGGGUCAUUGGCGCGUGGACCCGCGGUGGGCAGUCGUCGUUAAUAAAGACGCCGCUGGUUAUUGACCGGGUGCCACGUGUAGACGGGCGCGGACAUGAGAGGGCACGCGUCGCCUCCGCUUCGCGUCUAUGCUGACGCAUUUCAACCCUAAAUUUGGGUCUGAAAUGGGUCCGCGCGGACGGGGAACGGACACGUUUUGAAAAUGAAUCGGCGCGUUGGGUCUCCAUUUUUAUCGGCGGCGACCCAAACGAACUGUGGCGAACGAAAUGGGUCGUCCGAUUGGAGUUUCUCUAAUAACACCAAAUAUGUAUUUUCUGCCCCAAACAAUGGUUUUUAAUUUAUUCACCAUCAAAUUUAAUUAUAUAACCAUAAAUAUGGAUGCAAUAAAAAUAAUUACAUAACCAAUGUGUUUUGAUUCGUUAAUAUAGUAAGGCUAUGUACAACGUAAGAUGCUUAGAGAGGUGCUUAUGAAAAUGAAACACGUUUUUAAACAACGAUGCUUACUUGUAUAACACAUAUGGUUAUGCACGUUUACUUUGUUUUUCUUCUUUUUCCUUUCUUUUCGUGUAAUAUACUAUAACAUUAAUCUUUCUAAAAUUGAAGAACCCACAUUUAAUUGAUGUCUCCAAUUGACAUUGUGACACCGAUUUUGAUUCAGUCAACAAUUUAACAAAACUCUUCUAUUUAAUUAUUUUAUUUAUACCUCUAUAACACUAUACUUCUUAUUUUCAAAGAGUCACAUUCAACUGUGGUCUUCAAGAUUCCAAAUUAAAUUGGGUCAUCCGAUUUUGACCACCUCAAUAAUUUCUUAAAACUCUAUCUGUCAGUUCUUUAGACAAAUACAUUAUGCUUUUUAAUGGAUUUGAUUUACGAUUUUGAUUGAACUAACAGUUUUUCAAAUCAAUCAACAUGAACGGUCUAUAAAAACAUAUACGUAGAAAUUUUCCCACAUAUAUAAGGUUGGUUAGCAUAUACUAUAAAUCACACCACGAAAUGCCCAUCAAAUUAUCAAAUUGUAAAUAAAAAUAAAACACACCAUGUCAUCUCUCCCACACAUCAAACGAAAUAUUCUAUUGGUGUUAAAAUAUAAGGGGUAUUAGUUAUUUGAAAAGUCAAAUUCUUCAUCUUUAACCAAGUUAAGAGCAAAUAUAUCGACAUUCACAAUAUUAAAUAAAAAAAUAUGAUAAUUCAUUUAGCAAUGAAUUUAAUCACAACAAUUUAGUAUUAUGGAUUUUGAUAUGUUUAUCUAUAAGUUUAAUCAAAUUUAAAAGGUUUCACCAUUUAAAAAAAUAAUACACAUUAUAUUUUAAAAUAAAAUGGUUAGGUUUUAUAAUCUAACGGUGAAACAAAGCACUCCCGGUCCUUCUAGUCAUUUGUAAUCCUGACACAAUAAAAAUUAUAGCGGGGCCAUGCCUUGCUGUUAAGGGUAAAAAAUACACAAUGUCAAUCGAUUGAUUGGUGUAAUCAGUCAAGUUUGAAACUAAUGGUACAUAGGAUCUUGGUCGUUGGUUCUUUUGGAUGAACUAGUAUCUGUAGUGGCGUAUCUGUUUUGGCCUGCUAGUGGUGCACCUGUUUUGGCUACUAAUGACGCACUACAGGUGCGCCACUAGCAUCAUGUCAUUAGAAUUUUUUACUAAUGACGCAUCAGGCAGUGCGCCAUUAGUAUCUGAUAUACUAAUGACGCACCAGGCAGUGCGCCAUUAGUAUAGCCCAUGGUGCUCCAUUAGUAUGCCUCCAAGGGGGGCAUAUUUACCCAUGUGCUCUGGCUUACUAAUGACGCACUAGUUGACGAUGCGCCACUAGUGUGGUUUUUGCAGUGCGCCACUAAAGUGCUGAGUGAUGCACCACUAGUAUGAAAUAUUUGCUGAGAGCAUAAAAUCUUUGUUGAGAGCCCCAUGACAUCAAAGAUUCUGGCGUAUAUAUGUUUUGUUUCAAAACCAUAAAUUCAACAGCACAUAACAUAUAUAUCAAAUAUAUUGUCGGAGGAAUAAUCCCCAGGUACCCCAAAGACGCAGAGUCGAGCGGGGUGCCUGCCCGCUCCGGCCGGCUCCUCUGUCCAGCCGGCUACGCCAGCCCGACGACUAGUCGUAGUCAACUACGACAUCCUCUGAGGCGUCGUACUGCUUCAUCUACAAUGUAACUUGUCCCCUAGGCGCUGGUUUAUAAAGUGCCCCAGGGGACAAGCAUAGCUUAGGUCCCAAGCUGCAUAUAGCUUGGCAUGUAAGCUACCCAUGGUAGCUUACAUACCAAGCUGCACAUCCAUACAAAAGGCCUUAGGCUGCCCUCUCACUCUCUCAGGCUCUCACUCCCCCACAUACACACACUCAGACAUGAGGCCAGGAAGGAGGCACUCAGCUCUCUUCCUCUUCUAAUACAGCUCUAGGAGCAACCUUGUACUACCAAGAUACACCAUAUACACAAAUGCAGGAGUAGGGGUAUUAUCUCUCCAGAGAGCCCCGAACCUGGGUAAACCACCGGGUACUAUUACCCUAUCCCGUCCCGGAUCCUCCACGACAGUUUUUCCCUCACCUCGAUUAGCCAUCCCCUGGCAUAUGCCGUCAGGGUACCCCCUAUAUAGAAACGACGACAUAUAUAAUACAUAAUAUGUGCCCAAUAGUUUUACUUAUCCACAACACAUAACAUAUAUGCAAAGUUGCAUAACAAAUUUCAUGAUCCAUAUAUCAAAAUUCCAUAGCAUCCAUACAUCCAAAAUUCCAUAGCAUCCAUAUAUACAUAUAGUUCCAUAACAUCCAUACAUACAUAGCUCCAUAGCAAAUAUAAUACACAACGAUACUUUGCGGGCAUUAGUAAGUAAUAUUUGGCACUAAAACAAAUGCCUUCAUGUCCAUAUCGUAGUCCAAAGAGCAUCCGCGUGGCAACCUACAAGAUGAAAUCAUCGACAUGUCAAAUUUAACACUCUAAAUCAUGAAGAUCUUCAAGAAUGGUCUCUAAUUAUAAAUUUGAUCUUCAAAUGGGUCAAAUGAUCCUCUCCNNNNNNNNNNNNNNNNNNNNNNNNNNNNNNNNNNNNNNNNNNNNNNNNNNNNNNNNNNNNNNNNNNNNNNNNNNNNNNNNNNNNNNNNNNNNNNNNNNNNACGCGCGCAGACAAAAUAGGGGUCGGUGCGGUGGGAGUUGACCUAAGGUUUGGGGAAUUUUGGGGUUGUGCAAACGCUAGAGAGGAACAAGAAGGAUAUUGGCUAGAAAAUAACUAAAAGUGGGGGUCCAUUCUGCACAGAAGCAUGUAGUUAUCUGUACAAUUCUCUCCACAAAGAUCUGUGCCAUCCAAUUGCAAUCCGAUGGCUCAUAUUGAUUUUUUCUAUUUUCCAUCAGAGGCCGUUUUUCUAUGCCAGUCGCUCCCCGCCCAAAGUGGCAAAAUCCUCACCCUGCAACUUUCCCCUCCUCGUUCUCUUCCUCCCGCAGCUCUCUGUUCACAAGUUCCUCCUGCACUCUUGCUUCUUCACCACGAAUCAUGUUCUUGAGCACGAGAGCCAUGUCUCCUGCAUUGCUCAUGUUCGCCCUGGCUUGUCUUCUUGGUUCAUUAGGUCAACAACAUUCUUCUCUCUAGCUGUCUUUUUUAGCUCUGCCGUAAACCUAGCNNNNNNNNNNNNNNNNNNNNNNNNNNNNNNNNNNNNNNNNNNNNNNNNNNNNNNNNNNNNNNNNNNNNNNNNNNNNNNNNNNNNNNNNNNNNNNNNNNNNUCAUACAUGCUUUUGCUUGGUCGAGGAGCCGCAUGAUAGUUGGGUUGUGCCCUUAUUAUUUGCUACAUGACGCGCUAGUAUCAUUAUAUAUCCUGCUACACUGACAGAGGCAUACAUUUGCAUACAUCAUGAUAGUUAUCAUUGUUCUUUAUGUUGAGUACUUCCUAUAAAGUGUGAAGAUUUUUCUAGCUACUUUUGUAAAAAAAUAGAGUGUUGCCCUUAAGUGAGGAAAAGAUCCCAAAGAGGACAAAAUGAAAAGAUACCAAAGAGGACAAAUGAGAGAUAAAARRAAGAGCCAAAGAGACCACAAAAAGAAAAAGAAGGGGCAACACUACUAUUCCUUUUGUAAGAUCCACACUCGUACUCCAUUGUUAUAUUUGUACUACAUAGAGAUUAUCAUUCAUGCAUAACUAUGUGGGGACCUUUACACUGUAGAACUUGGUUUGCAUAUUCCAAUGAUGAGCCUCCUCAAAUGAGCUCUAGGUCUUCAUGAGAAAACAAGUUGGAUGCACCCCCACUAGUUCCAUUGGAGAGCUUAUCAUAGCUCAUAUGUGCAUCCGUUGCAUGCCAAUCCCUACUCCUCACAUCAUAUCUAUCAUUUGAUUUCUCUCACCUAUGAUUGUCCUCAUUGAUGUGAGCCUUUCNNNNNNNNNNNNNNNNNNNNNNNNNNNNNNNNNNNNNNNNNNNNNNNNNNNNNNNNNNNNNNNNNNNNNNNNNNNNNNNNNNNNNNNNNNNNNNNNNNNNAAGUGACCUGUGACGAAGAUGAUGAGAUGCAAAAAUAAUAAUAUAAAAAAAUGGCAAGUGAGAGCUUAGGUAGCCCGCCACAUGUCCUCACAUGCCCGGUUGGUCGCGAAAGCAAGGCGUGAUUUGGCCUCGCGGCCAGAGCCAGAGCCAGAGCCAGAGCGUGGUUCGAAAGUGCAGAGGCAGCGUCACUGACGCCGACGCCCAAACGAAAUGGCCGCAGUAAAAGACCAAAAUAUCGUACUCCUCCUCCAACUCGCUAUACCUCGGCAGGCAAAAAUAGCCCAUGGUUCGAGCACUCACUAGUACGAGUAAUAAGCAAAGCGAAAGGAAAGGAAAAAGGGAGAAGCCUCCCCGUGAAAAUCCACCCGCAUACUUGGCACCCACCACGGGCACAAAACAAGGGAUAAAUCCAAGGUGGGGGACGAGGUGGUGGAGAGAGAGGGAGAAAAAAAACCCUACUUAACCGACAGUCUCGCCGGCGGGAGGCAGAAGCGCGGCGCGUCCAGUCGUCCAGGCGACGCCGGCGGCCGUCUCGCGCGCCCCGCGGGUGGCUGCGGCGGGGGCCAGGGAGCUGAGGGUCGUGGGGGCGGAGUCAGAUGCGCUCGGAAUGGGGAAGCCCGUCGAUGUCGAGCUCGGCGGCGCGGGAGGCCUCGCGAUCGCCGGCGGCGGAGGAGGAGGAGGAGGGUGGGGCUUCGCCGGCGCGGUCGGCCGCGCCGUCUCGUUCCGGUGCGUCUUCGUGCUCGCGCUCGCCGUCGGGGUCCUCGUCCCGGCGCUGUCCUCCUCCUGCCAUCCCGCCCCGAGGGCUACCUCUCCAGCGACCCCGACGUCCUCGCCGGUGAGCUCUCCG